CAUAAUCAGUAGUCUUUUAAUUGAAGGCUGGUAUGAAUGGUUGGAUGAGAUAUUAACUGUUUCAUUUAAAUUUUUAAAGAAUUUUAUUUUUUAGUUAAAAAGCUAAAAUUUUAUUAAAAGACGAGAAGACCCUAUAAAUCUUUAUAUUUUUUUAUAUUUUAAUUUUAUAGAUUUAUUUAAUUAUUAUAAUAAAUAAAUAUUUUAUUGGGGUGAUAUUAAAAUUUAAAAAACUUUUAGUUUAUGAUUUACAUAAAUUUAUGAAUAAAUGAUCCAUUAUUAGUGAUUAAAAAUUUAAGUUACUUUAGGGAUAACAGCGUAAUUUUUUUGGAGAGUUCAUAUCGAUAAAAAAGAUUGCGACCUCG
rnacentral:rRNA from 1 species